GGAAAGGUUCCAUGUGAACGGCACUUGCACAAGGGUUAGUCGAUCCUAAGAGACGGGGGAAGCCCGUCCGAUAGAGCAUUCAGCGCGAGCUUCUAAAGGGAAUCGGGUUAAAAUUCCUGAACCGGGACGCGGCGGCUGACGGCAACGUUAGAGAGUCCGGAGACAUCGGCGGGGUCCUCGGGAAGAGUUAUCUUUUCUGUUUAACGGCCUGCCCACCCUGGAAACGGCUCAGCUGGAGGUAGGGUCCAG
rnacentral:ncRNA from 1 species